rnacentral:rRNA from 1 species
AAGACCUUGCGCUUUUGGAGCGGCCGAUGUCUGAUUAGCUAGUUGGUAGGGUAAUGGCCUACCAAAGCUUCGAUCAGUAGCUGGUCUGAGAGGACGACCAGCCACACUGGGACUGAGACACGGCCCAGACUCCUACGGGAGGCAGCAGUGGGGAAUUUUGGACAAUGGGCGCAAGCCUGAUCCAGCCAUGCCGCGUGAGUGAGGAAGGCCUUCGGGUUGUAAAGCUCUUUCAGCCGGGAAGAAAAGGCUACGACGAAUAAUCGUAGCUCAUGACGGUACCGGAAGAAGAAGCACCGGCUAACUACGUGCCAGCAGCCGCGGUAAUACGUAGGGUGCGAGCGUUAAUCGGAAUUACUGGGCGUAAAGGGUGCGCAGGCGGUUUUGUAAGUCAGAUGUGAAAUCCCCGGGCUUAACCUGGGAACU